GAUGAACGCUGGCGGCGUGCCUAAUACAUGCAAGUCGAGCGAACGGACGAGAAGCUUGCUUUUCUGAUGUUAGCGGCGGACGGGUGAGUAACACGUGGAUAACCUACCUAUAAGACUGGGAUAACUUCGGGAAACCGGAGCUAAUACCGGAUAAUAUUUUGAACCGCAUGGUUCAAAAGUGAAAGACGGUCUUGCUGUCACUUAUAGAUGGAUCCGCGCUGCAUUAGCUAGUUGGUAAGGUAACGGCUUACCAAGGCAACGAUGCAUAGCCGACCUGAGAGGGUGGUCGGCCACACUGGAACUGAGACACGGUCCAGACUCCUACGGGGAGCAGCAGUAGGGAAUCUUCCGCAAUUGGCGGAAGCCUGACGGGGCAACGCCGCGUGAGUGAUGAAGGUCUUCGGAUCGUAAAACUCUGUUAUUAGGGAAGAACAUAUGUGUAAGUAACUGUGCACAUCUUGACGGUACCUAAUCAGAAAGCCACGGCUAACUACGUG
rnacentral:rRNA from 1 species